UCCCUGGCAUGCCAGUGGUUAGGAUGCAGUACUCUCACUGCUAAGGCUCAGGUUCAAUUCCUGGCUGGGGAC
rnacentral:tRNA from 1 species